rnacentral:rRNA from 1 species
GAUGAACGCUAGCGAUAGGCUUAACACAUGCAAGUCGAGGGGCAGCAUGGUCUUAGCUUGCUAAGACUGAUGGCGACCGGCGCACGGGUGCGUAACGCGUAUGCAACUUGCCUCACAGAGGGGGAUAACCCGUCGAAAGACGGACUAAUACCGCGUACACUUGGGAUAGGGCAUCCUGACCCAAGGAAAUGAAAUUCGCUGUGAGAUAGGCAUGCGUCCCAUUAGCUAGUUGGUGAGGUAACGGCUCACCAAGGCGACGAUGGGUAGGGGAACUGAGAGGUUGAACCCCCACACUGGUACUGGGAACCGGACCAGACUCCUACGGGAGGCAGCAGUGAGGAAUAUUGGUCAAUGGGCGAGAGCAUGAACCAGCCAAGUCGCGUGAAGGAUGACUGUCUUAUGGAUUGUAAACUUCUUUUAUACGGGAAUAACAAGAGUCACGUGUGGCUCCCUGCAUGUACCGUAUGAAUAAGCAUCGGCUAACUCCGUG